CCUACGGGAGGCUGCAGUGGGGAAUUUUCGGCAAUGGGGGGAACCCUGACCGAGCAACGCCGCGUGAGGGAAGAAGGUCUUCGGAUCGUAAACCUUUGUCAUCAGGGACGAUCAUGACGGUACCUGAGGAGGAAGCCACGGCUAACUACGUGCCAGCAGCCGCGGUAAUACGUAGGUGGCGAGCGUUGUCCGGAAUUACUGGGCGUAAAGGGCGUGUAGGUGGCCUUUUAAGUCAGGCGUGAAAACCCACGGCUUAACCGUGGGCCUGCGCUUGAAACUGGGGGGCUUGAGGGCAGGAGAGGAAAGCGGAAUUCCCAGUGUAGCGGUGAAAUGCGUAGAUAUUGGGAGGAACACCAGUGGCGAAGGCGGCUUUCUGGACUGACCCUGACACUGAGGCGCGAAAGCCAGGGGAGCGAACGGGAUUAGAUACCCCUGUAGUC
rnacentral:rRNA from 1 species